GACGAACGCUGGCGGCGUGCUUAACACAUGCAAGUCGAACGGGCCCGCCCCUGUUUUUGGGGGUGGGUUGAGUGGCGAACGGGUGAGUAUCACGUGAGUAACCUGCCCCCUGCUCCUGGAUAACUGCUUGAAAGGGCGGCUAAUACGGGGUGUGCCGGCUGGUCCGCAUGGGCCUGGUCGGGAUAGUUUCAUCUUCGGGUGUUUCGGUGGGGGAUGGGCUCGCGGCCUAUCAGCUUGUUGGUGGGGUGAUGGCGCACCAAGGCGGUGAAGGGUAGCCGGGCUGGGAGGGUGGGCGGCCAAACUGGGACGGAGCCACGGCCCAGCCUCCGGCGGGAGGCAGCAGUGGGGGGUAUUGCCCAAUGGGCGGAAGCCUGAUGCAGCGGCGUCGCGUGAGGGAUGGAGGCCUUCGGGUGGUGAACCUCUUUCUCCGGUGGGGAAGGCCCUGUCCGUUGCGGCGGGGUUGACGGUAGCCGGGGAUGAAGCGCCGGCUAACUACGUG
rnacentral:rRNA from 1 species